ensembl:lncRNA
AUCAAUUUUAGUGUAGAUUCAGGUGUGAUUAUUACACAUUGACUCAUGUACUCCAAAGGUAUCAUUAAUAAAGUUGGAAGUUUUCAAAUUACUGGUACACCAGCAAUAAUAUAAUUCCAGACUCCAACACUCACUGUGUUUAUAACUGACAGGGUGAAAUAGGAAAGUUUGGGUUAAUAACAUAAAUUAUUUAACAGAAAGUUUAACUUUUUUUAAAGUAGUACAAAAUUUGUCUGGCAUUGUAACAUAAAAUCCUUUAAAACUUUUGCCAAUGAGUAGCACUUACAUCCUGCAGUUACAAAUAGCGUGAGUGUUCUGCAGUGUAGAAGUGGUCCCACCUCAGAGCAUCAAACCUUUUAUUCUUUUCAGUGCAACAGAAUCACUCAUGCUCUAAAUACAAGUUGAGAAUAUAAACUUUCAAGGAUCUGAAAAUCCUUCUACUCUUACUUGAUGCCAUAGUUAUUAUGUAUAAAAGAGAUGUUUUAGGUAACUCAAAACAGAUUUUGUCUCAAAUCAGAGGAGAACAUUAUUUCUAACAGAAGAGUGUGAGCUAAUAUGAUACAUAUGUAAAGGUGCUGACUCUUUUAACUAGGGAUUUCCUAAGUUGAUUUUAAAAUCAUUAAUAUUUCAGGAUGAGCUGACCCUUCCAGCAGGGGCUGGAGUUUAGACUUACCUCAGCUGUCAAGUAUUACAGUAAAAGAAUUACACACUGGAGUAAUUGGGAAAAGUAUGUAUGACUAAAACAGAUCCUUUGCGGGACAAAUGAGUAGCUAGAAAGGAUAUUUUCUGAUGUCGGUGAUUAUUUUGAGAACCUGAAGAUGCCUUGAAAGUUGCAUGUUUCAGUUUAUGGAGUCUAUGAAAUUUAGGCCUCUAAAUAAUAGGAAAGAUAUCCAAAGUGUUAAAUCAAAGAAACAGUGCUUUGGAAAGUUAGAAUUGGUUGUUUCUUCUAAAGAGAAGCAGAAGACAAACUGAGGUAAGACAGUGUUUGAAACAAGACGUGAUAAACUCCAUCAUCAGCAUUCCUAGUUUCACAAAUUGAAGUGCUGUCCCAUAUGCCACAGUAGUGGUUAAACCUUAAUAAUUCUCAGUUCUGGGCUUUUGCACCCUAAUGAAGGCUAAGUAGAGGGAAUACUUUGGUUAGUAAACGCUAAUGUGUGAAGAUUACUGAAGCAGGCUCAUGACAGAUGGGUAGAGUAGUAAAAGUAUGUGAAAGCAAAGGUAGCUUCAAACAAAGGUUAACCAUAGAGUGAACACAGGUUUGUAGAAUACAUGCAAGGAGGAGGAAAAACAAAUGUGACCUUCUCAUAAUGUACAGGAGCUAAAUAUGGAGAGUGGGAGGCAAAAGGUAAGGCAACUCGUUAUUGAAACUCUUGUGCAAUGAGCCAGCAUUAUUGCAAAAGCUAUAGAGACUCAUUGAAGCCAGGUUUCUGGAUAGUGAUGCCUUCCUUUGACGUAAUUUGUUCCAGAUAUCUCUGAAAGAGACCUUGCUGGAAAGGAAUGGUCUAAUGUAGAUCAGUUAUAUUGUUCCAUACACCAUACUGGGACAGUUUCAGUGAUCUUGCCAAUCAACUAGGUCUAUGGUGAAAAUAUGCCUGAAAUAGUACUAGAAGAGCUACUGAUGAUAGACCACAAGGAAGCCGACAGUCUUCCAGAUGAGAGAACAGAAGGUGCUCUCUUAAUAAGUGAACACUUGGGUACAGGCACUUCAAAGCUCUGGCAAACUCAAAUUACCGGUAGUCCUUUACCUGUACCAGCCCACCCUCCUCCUCCUUCAAAUUCUGCUUAACAGAGUCUGAGAAAGCAAGACUUGAAAGGCUGGAGUCAAAAAAGAGAGUCAAUGCAUAAAUGGAAAUUAGUAGUUGUUCAAUAAUCUAACUGCCCUUAGAACAUUUCCUGGAAAGACGCUGAGCUUCCUAAUAAGGACUCUGGAAAUGAUAAUGAUGUAGACAUAAGCAGGAAAAAGAACACCUAAGGUAAUACUGAGAAGAAAAGUUUAAGAACACAAGCUCGGCAUGAUGUUUUUCACAUGUAUUUUACAGACUUCAACAGAGUAGGGUUUUCAUUUGUUUUACAAAAAUAAGACUUGGGUUGAUGGAAUUGUGAUUGAUUUGAAUGAGUAUUUACCUCAAAAGCUGAAGCCCUAAAAAUAACAAUAGCAAAAAAAUAUAUUUCUCAUUAUAGAAAAAUCACAAAAAAUAAUUUGCUACUAAAUGGAAAACUGUUAUAGCUUAUUAAGAAUUAUAAAAACUUAACUUUCCUGCUUUAGGUCAUAAAUCAGAACUAUUCUUCUGAUGUCUGAUUUAGGUUUUCAGUUAUGCAACUGAGGGGUCUGAUUUGCAAAAGUCAGGUUUUUGGGUUUUUUUGUUUGAGCAACCACUGUGCUCUGUUUCAAAAUGAAGCCUGUAGAGAUUAGUGGAAGCUGAACAUAGAAAACACGGUAAAAGGAAUAAUAACUGUCCUUCUUUCUUCAAGAAGGUAAAUAUUAAAGGUAAUAAACAAUUCUAGGAAGUUCUCAUUUCUUCCACUAUACUGAAAUUGCAUUUUCCAUAUUGCUUAGAGUGGUAAGUUUGUUUAUUUUUGAAAUACUUAUUUGAGAGGAAAAACAAAACUAAGAAUCCAAUUUCUAAUGUUGCCCGUCUAUCAGAAUCAGGAUCAAGUAAUUGAUGAUCAUGAUGCACUUCAAUUUUCAAUAAAGCACAGAACUAGGUCACUAAGGUACAGGGUCAGAAGAAUUUUAGACAUAAUAAAGACAAGAAUUAUUACUUUCAUAAAAGUAGAGCUUCACAAGCAAUAAGAUUGGUGACAAAAAAUAAUACUAAUCGAUGUGUUGUAUCCAAAAAGGUCCAAUAAUGAAUUUCAGUUACAUUUGCAACAUUCCUCAUUUGUUGUUCAGCAUGAACUACAGCUUAUGAACCUACUGAUUCAACAGAAACAAUCAAGUGUCUUCAAGAAAACAAGAUGAAUGGUGUCCUGGGGUUUUAUGAAACUUCACUGAUGCAACAUGCAUACUUAUUUUCUGACAGUUGGUUCACAUUGUUGCUGAUUUUCAAAUACUUUCUCAUAUUAUAAAGGCUAAUUAUAGUGGAAUUAAUAUGCUUCCCAUUACUUAGAGAUACUACAGAGGGGAGUUUAUCACAAAUACUUCUCCAUUCUUACAUGUUUUGUAAAUGGUACCCUUAGAACUCUAAUGCACUGUGUUUACCUCAACUGCAAGUGGCUGUUAAAGUCAUAUACCUUUAGAUUUACACCUAUUAAAAAACCUUUAUCAGACAUUUGAUAUGUAAAUGAGUAAAAAUUUGCUUACUAGUUCUUGCCUGUGCAGAAUAUACCCUUCGUAGCAGUUUCUUUUCUUUUUUCAGUAUGACUAUCAAAUCCUAAUCAUACUAAAGUCUGUAGCAAAAUGUCUGUAACAUCAUCAGCAUUGGAAUGCUGCACUUAAUCUAAGUAGCAUGUGGGUCAGCUACUUAUGAGAAAUGUGCUACUCAUGGGUAAGAAGUGGCUCACUUAACCCUGGUGCUCCACACAGGUAUGAUAUGUAACUUAUUUGUGAUGUGUUUAUGUGAACUUUGAAUGAUAUUGUAGCUGUAUAAAAAUAAGCAGCCUUAACAUGGAUAUAUACUAGUAUGAUAUGUAACUUAUUUGUGAUGUGUUUAUGUGAACUUUGAAUGAUAUUGUAGCUGUAUAAAAAUAAGCAGCCUUAACAUGGAUAUAUACUAUCAAAAAGUCAAUAGAGCUUUCACGAAUAUCAUAUGAGGUGAGUCACAGAACUAAUGAGCUGUGGUAUUAAGCUGAGGCAUUUAUGAAACCAUGAUUUAGUGAUUGCUUUAUAUUUCUACUUCAUUCCUUUGGGUAAAGAAUACUUUUCCCUGCCCCCCAACACUAGAAUGUCUAUGUAAAGAACUUAUGUCAAAAUGAAUAAUCUCCUAAACUAUCUGUAUGUCAUCUCAAGUUUCAAAAACAUAUUGAGAGCUGUAAAAGAUCCAGUGUGAUGUCUUUGUGGUAAUGGGAUCAAGAGACAGUAUUAAGUGCAUCACAAUACUGUAAUGAAAAAAAAAACGUGAUUAUUUGUAGUCAG